rnacentral:rRNA from 1 species
GGGACGAACGCUGGCGGCGUGCUUAACACAUGCAAGUCGAGCGGAAAGGCCCUUCGGGGUACUCGAGCGGCGAACGGGUGGGUAACACGUGAGCAACCUGCCCCUGGCUCUGGGAUAGCCUCCGGAAACGGGGAUUAAUACCGGACAUGACCUCUGACCGCAUGGUUGGGGGUGGAAAGUUUUUCGGCCAGGGUGGGGCUCGCGGCCUAUCAGCUUGUUGGGGGGGUGACGGCCCACCAAGGCGACGACGGGUAGCC